rnacentral:rRNA from 1 species
CUGCUGCCUUCCGUAGGAGUCUGGUCCGUGUCUCAGUACCAGUGUGGGGGACCUUCCUCUCAGAACCCCUAGACAUCGUCGCCUUGGUGGGCCGUUGCCCCGCCAACUAGCUAAUGUCACGCAUGCCCAUCCGUUGCCGGAAUCGCUCCCUUUGGCCGCAGGGCCAUGCAGCCCCGCGGCGUUACGCGGUAUUAGACGGGAUUUCUCCCGAUUAUCCCCCUGCAACGGGCAGGUCGCAUACGCGUUACUCACCCGUGCGCCGG